rnacentral:antisense_RNA from 1 species
UGUUAUGGCGGCUGUGCGCGGGGCACCCUCGGGUGCGCCGGGGUCCUGGAGUCCGGUCUUCCACACCUGCGUACAGUCGCCACCCAU